UACGUAGGGGGCAAGCGUUGUCCGGAAUCAUUGGGCGUAAAGAGCGUGUAGGUGGCUCGGUAAGUCCGCUGUGAAAGUCCAGGGCUCAACCCUGGAAAGCCGGUGGAAACUGUCGAGCUCGAGUCCGGAAGAGGCGAGUGGAAUCCUGGUGUAGCGGUGAAAUGCGCAGAUAUCGGGAGGAACGACCGGUGGCGAAGGCGGUUCUACUGGG
rnacentral:rRNA from 1 species